rnacentral:rRNA from 1 species
UGGGGAAUUUUGGACAAUGGGCGCAAGCCUGAUCCAGCCAUGCCGCGUGCGGGAAGAAGGCCUUCGGGUUGUAAACCGCUUUUGUCGGGGAAGAAAUCUCUCGGGCUAAUACCUCGGGGGGAUGACGGUACCCGAAGAAUAAGCACCGGCUAACUACGUGCCAGCAGCCGCGGUAAUACGUAGGGUGCGAGCGUUAAACGGAAUUACUGGGCGUAAAGCGUGCGCAGGCGGUUUUGCAAGACAGAUGUGAAAUCCCCGGGCUUAACCUGGGAACUGCGUUUGUGACUGCAAGGCAGGAGUACGGCAGAGGGGGGUGGAAUUCCACGUGUAGCAGUGAAAUGCGUAGAGAUGUGGAGGAACACCGAUGGCGAAGGCAGCCCCCUGGGCCUGUACUGACGCUCAUGCACGAAAGCGUGGGGAGCAAACA